rnacentral:rRNA from 1 species
GUCCACGCCGUAAACGAUGGACACUAGGCGUCGGGGGAGCGACCCCCUCGGUGCCGUCGCUAACGCAGUAAGUGUCCCGCCUGGGGAGUACGGCCGCAAGGCUGAAACUCAAAGGAAUUGACGGGGGCCCGCACAAGCGGUGGAGCAUGUGGUUUAAUUCGAAGCAACGCGAAGAACCUUACCUGGGCUUGACAUGUUGGUGAAAGCCGGUGGAAACAUCGGCCCCUCUUCGGAGCGCCAGCACAGGUGCUGCAUGGCUGUCGU